rnacentral:rRNA from 1 species
UGCCCUUCACUACGGAAUAGCCUCGGGAAACUGAGAGUAAUACCGUAUACGCCCUUUGGGGAAAGAUUUAUCGGUGAAGGAUUAGCCCGCGUCUGAUUAGAUAGUUGGUGGGGUAACGGCCUACCAAGUCGACGAUCAGUAGCUGGUUUGAGAGGAUGAUCAGCAACACUGGGACUGAGACACGGCCCAGACUCCUACGGGAGGCAGCAGUGGGGAAUCUUAGACAAUGGGCGCAAGUGAUCUAGCCAUGCCGCGUGAGUGACGAAGGCCUUAGGGUCGUAAAGCUCUUUCGCCAGGGAUGAUAAUGACAGUACCUGGUAAAGAAACCCCGGCUAACUCCGUGCCAGCAGCCGCGGUAAUACGGAGGGGGUUAGCGUUGUUCGGAAUUACUGGGCGUAAAGCGCGCGUAGGGGGUUGUUAAGUUAGAGGUGAAAUCCCGGGGCUCAACCCCGAACUGCCUUUAAUACUGGCAACCUAGAGUUCGAGAGAGGUGAGUGGAAUUCCGAGUGUAGAGGUGAAAUUCGUAGAUAUUCGGAGGAACACCAGUGGCGAAGGGGCUCACUGGCUCGAUACUGACGCUGAGGUGCGAGAGUGUGGGGAGCAAACAGGAUUAGAUACCCUGGCAG